UACGGAGGGUGCAAGCGUUAUCCGGAUUCACUGGGUUUAAAGGGUGCGUAGGUGGAUUGGUAAGUCAGUGGUGAAAUCUCCGGGCUUAACUCGGAAACUGCCAUUGAUACUAUCAGUCUUGAAUACCGUGGAGGCCAGUAGAAUAUGUCAUGUAGCGGUGAAAUGCUUAGAUAUGACAUAGAAUACCAAUUGCGAAGGCAGCUGGCUACGCGAAUAUUGACACUCAGGCACGAAAGCGUGGGGAGCAAAAGGG
rnacentral:rRNA from 1 species